CCUACGGGCGGCAGCAGUGGGGAAUAUUGCACAAUGGGGGAAACCCUGAUGCAGCGACGCCGCGUGAGUGAAGAAGUAAUUCGUUAUGUAAAGCUCUAUCAGCCGGGAAGAAAAUGACGGUACCUGAGUAAGAAGCACCGGCUAACUACGUGCCAGCAGCCGCGGUAAUACGUAGGGGGCAAGCGUUAUCCGGAUUUACGGGGUGUAACGGGAGUGUAGACGGCAGUGCAAGUCUGGAGUGAAAGGCGGGGGCUCAACCCCCGGACUGCUCUGGAAACUGUACGGCUGGAGGGCAGGAGAGGUAAGUGGAAUGCCUAGUGGAGCGGUGAAAUGCGUAGAUAUUAGGAGGAACACCAGUGGCGAAGGCGGCUUACUGGACUGUAACUGACGUUGAGGCUCGAAAGCGUGGGGAGCAAACAGGAGUAGAUACCCCUGUAGUC
rnacentral:rRNA from 1 species